GACGAACGCUGGCGGCGUGCUUAACACAUGCAAGUCGAACGGAAAGGCCCUGCUUUUGUGGGGUGCUCGAGUGGCGAACGGGUGAGUAACACGUGAGUAACCUGCCCUUGACUUUGGGAUAACUUCAGGAAACUGGGGCUAAUACCGGAUAGGAGCUCCUGCUGCAUGGUGGGGGUUGGAAAGUUUCGGCGGUUGGGGAUGGACUCGCGGCUUAUCAGCUUGUUGGUGGGGUAGUGGCUUACCAAGGCUUUGACGGGUAGCCGGCCUGAGAGGGUGACCGGGCAGAUGGGGACUGAGAGACGGCCUGGGCGCCUGCGGGAGGCAGCAGGGGGGAGUGUGGCACAAUGGCCGGAAGCCUGAUGCCGCAUCGCGCCGGGCGGGAUGGGGGCCUGCGGGUUGUAAACCGCUUUCGCCUGGGACGAUGCGUGAGUGACGGUAAUGGGUAAAGAAGCACCGGCUAACUACGU
rnacentral:rRNA from 1 species